rnacentral:rRNA from 1 species
GGCUCAGAACGAACGCUGGUAGCGUGGAUUAGGCAUGCAAGUCGAACGGGAUCCGGAAGGCAGCAAUGUCGGCCGGUGAGAGUGGCGGAAGGGCGAGGAACACGUGGGCAACCUGUCUUGAGGUGGGGAAAACCUCGGGAAACUGAGGCUAAUACCGAAUGUGGCGCGGAAGGGCAUCCUUCCUGCGCUAAAGGGGGCGAAAGCUCCCCCUCUUCGAGGGGCUCGCGCACCAUCAGCUAGUUGGCGGGUAACGGCCCACCAAGGCUCACGGUUAGCUGGUCUGAGAGGAUGGCCAGCCGCACUGGGACUGAGAUACUGCCCAGACUCCUACGGGAGGCUGCAGUCGAGGAUCAUUCGCAAUGGGCGAAAGCCUGACGAUGCGACGCUGCGUGGAGGAAUGAAGGCCUUCGGGUUGUAAACUCCUGUCAUGAGGGAAAAGGAGACCCUGCCCAACACGCAGGGGAUUUGAUGGUACCUCAAGAGGAAGGGACGGCUAACUCUGUGCCAGCCGCUGC